rnacentral:rRNA from 1 species
CCUACGGGUGGCUGCAGUGGGGAAUAUUGGACAAUGGGGGCAACCCUGAUCCAGCCAUGCCGCGUGUGUGAAGAAGGCCCUCGGGUUGUAAAGCACUUUCAGUGAGGAAGAACGCCUGGUGGUUAAUACCCAUCAGGAAAGACAUCACUCACAGAAGAAGCACCGGCUAACUCCGUGCCAGCAGCCGCGGUAAUACGGAGGGUGCGAGCGUUAAUCGGAAUUACUGGGCGUAAAGCGCGCGUAGGUGGCUUGAUAAGCCGGUUGUGAAAGCCCCGGGCUCAACCUGGGAACGGCAUCCGGAACUGUCAAGCUAGAGUGCAGGAGAGGAAGGUGGAAUUCCCGGUGUAGCGGUGAAAUGCGUAGAGAUCGGGAGGAAUACCAGUGGCGAAGGCGGCCUUCUGGACUGACACUGACACUGAGGUGCGAAAGCGUGGGUAGCAAACAGGAUUAGAUACCCGUGUAGUC